rnacentral:lncRNA from 1 species
CUCAGAAGAGCAAAGUAGAAUUAGACUUUCACCACCAUUGUUUUCACCAUUGUUUUCACCAUUGUUAUCACCAUCAUCACCAUAUACCAUUCAUUCGCCACACAUGCACAUCUUGAUUAAACUUAUUGACUUGUUACUUUGGAUCCAUGGUUUGACUAUGCAAUACAUGUCUUGUAAGUAUGUAUACUUUAUCUCCCACCUAUGAGCUCCAGAUAUUAAAGCCUUAUUAGAGUAGGAUGAGAGAGAAGGCAAUGUUACUAUGCCUCAUACCACAAAUACCACAUAUCUUGAGAGAAGGCAUAUACCAUCAAUGCCUUGGUAAGGAUCCAAAAAUACCACAAAAGAGAGACCUGAGAGAAUCAUACAAGGAAUUCUGAGUUUUAUUUGAAAAUCUGCAAAACCCCCAGAGCUAUAGCUGAUCAAGAAUAAGAGACAUGGCACUUGGCUAGACUGUUCUAUCUUUUAACCACUCAAGACAGAAGUGACAGUUACAAG